rnacentral:rRNA from 1 species
AGGACGAACGCUGGCGGCGUGCUUAACACAUGCAAGUCACGGGGGCCCGCAAGGGUAACCGGCGAACGGGUGCGUAACACGUGAACAACCUGCCCUCGUGUGGGGGAUAGCCGGGCUAACGCCCGGGUAAUACCGCAUACGGUCAUCGAGAGGAGUCUCUUGGUGAAGAAAGCUCCGGCGCACGGGGAGGGGUUCGCGGCCUAUCAGCUAGUUGGCGGGGUAAUGGCCCACCAAGGCGACGACGGGUAGCUGGUCUGAGAGGAUGGCCAGCCACAUUGGGACUGAGAGACGGCCCAGACUCCUACGGGAGGCAGCAGUGGGGAAUCUUGCGCAAUGGCCGAAAGGCUGACGCAGCGACGCCGCGUGUGGGAGGACGCCUUUCGGGGUGUAAACCACUGUUGCCCGGGACGAAUAUCCUGUUUGACAGGAUUGACGGUACCGGGUGAGGAAGCACCGGCUAACUCCGCGCCAGCAGCCGC